rnacentral:rRNA from 1 species
CCUACGGGAGGCAGCAGUGAGGAAUAUUGGUCAAUGGACGAGAGUCUGAACCAGCCAAGUAGCGUGAAGGAUGACUGCCCUAUGGGUUGUAAACUUCUUUUAUAUGGGAAUAAAACGUUCCACGUGUGGGAUUUUGUAUGUACCAUAUGAAUAAGGAUCGGCUAACUCCGUGCCAGCAGCCGCGGUAAUACGGAGGAUCCGAGGGUUAUCCGGAUUUAUUGGGUUUAAAGGGAGCGUAGGUGGAUUGUUAAGUCAGUUGUGAAAGUUUGCGGCUCAACCGUAAAAUUGCAGUUGAAACUGGCAGUCUUGAGUACAGUAGAGGUGGGCUGAAUUCGUGGUGUAGCGGUGAAAUGCUUAGAUAUCACGAAGAACUCCGAUUGCGAAGGCAGUUCACUGGACUGCAACUGACACUGAGGCUCGAAAGUGUGGGUAUCAAACAGGAUUAGAUACCCGAGUAGUC